rnacentral:lncRNA from 1 species
AUGGAAAGUUCCCUCUUGAACAGCUUCACAACCUGGAGGAUGUUCUCAGCUGCCUGCAGCUCAUCAGGCGGUCCUGCAUGUUGUUUCCAUGAAGACAGAAUUUUGUCUAUAAAGGAACAUCUUCACACCAGCAAAGAUCACUGCUGUGUUCUGUGUGGCUCAGCCCGUGAGGAAAAGCUUGCACACUUCAGCAUCACAGAUAUCGCUCUGAUGAUGGUACUGACCGAGUGUCACGUGGGGGGGACAGUAGUGGAAGUAAAAAGCUGUUCUCAGCAGCUGUCCUUUCCUCUGAGAUAACGUGAGAGGUGUGCUGCUCUGUGCCCUCAGAGGUUACUAAAUCCUGUGUGCAUUUGUUUCUCUUCCUCCCUCUGAUAUAUUCACAAAUGCUUUUGUCAAAACUAAAACCAAAACAUUAAGAUGACACAUAUCUGCAGGGAACCUCUUCUCCUUGCUCACCUUCCCUUUUCAGCCAGUCUGUAGAAAACACCUUCAGCUCUGAGAGUCAGGCGUCUGCUGCUCGCUGAGCUGACGGCAGGGUGGCGUCUUUAAUCUCUUGAUCAGCGUCACAACCAAAGGAACAGAAGGGUUAGCAGAGGGAGGGAUUUGGUAGCAUGGAAUACGUUUGAAUGUGUCCCUGGGGAUCUGAGGAGGCCUGGCAGGUGAUGCUGUUGCAUAAGGGGGGCCCGUCGGGCAGGAACCAGCUCCACAUCUGGCUCAUUUGUGCAGGCAGGCAACAGCAGCAGCAACUCGUGGAGUGCAGGAAUGCACUUUGACUAGGGCUUGGGGAUGCUGUUCCAGGUUUUCAUCUGGUUGUAUGUGUACUGAACUGCCCAAGUAAUCCUGAAAAAUAGUUCCCAAGCAAUUAGAAAGAACCACCUAAUUUGCCCUUUCAAAGCUUGGUUGUAUGUUUGUAUGUUUUGUGUCAAUUUAUCCUGUCACUCAGUGAAAUCAUAAUUAGGUUUCACUGCAACAUAAAUGUUAGUGAAAUGUGCUGUCCAAGUCAAUCAGUGUUACAAAGAAAUUAAUCAGAUCCAGUUCCUCCUUCUAAUGAACUUCCUCAUUAGCUGCUGGCUCUUCUCUGCAGCCUGUACUCGUUGUGUGCAGCGUAGCUUCAGCAAGUUUCGUUACCUCUUUCUCUGACGGCUUUGUCAUCGCAUCCCAAUGGGAACAAAGCAAGGAGCAUGCCAUUUCGUGGAGAGACGUGUCAGUGAGCAGGGACCAGAGCAUGGGCUUUGAAAUGGGGUAGAUCUGCUUUCGCACCUUUAGAGUACAAAUUGCACAAAAUGAGACUGAGAACAGUAGUGCAGGAUUUACCUCUCCCAACCCUAUCCCCUACUUGACAACGCGGUGACAAAAUGUUUAACUGCAUGGCAAUUGAAGAGCAGCAGAGAGGUUACGGUGUAAACAUUUGUGUGUAAGUAUCACCAAACAAUGUUGGUUACAGGUGUUUUCUGUACUGCUUCCUUUUAAGAUUGCCCUGAUUUGCUGCCCCAGUCAUCCCAGUGACUUGGACUGGUGGAGACAGAGGUGCAAACGGAACUGUAUUGUCAAGAUGCAACGGUUGCAACACUGCAAACCUCUGGCCUUUGUGAUUAAUUCAGACACAGAGGCUGUUUGAUGUAGUGUAUGACAGUGCACACGACUUUUAUGCAAGGCUGUAGGAGAAAUUAAAUUUAUAUUUGUAGAUCGAAUUAUUGCUUCAUCAAAUAAGCUUUAAGAUGCAAGAAGAAGAUCAGUACUCAGAUGUAGCUUCGUUUUUCUGAUCAUUCACCAACUUUUCAAUCUUCCCAUUGUAGUACCUCCAAUACCAUACGUAAUACCUCUGGUUCUGGUAUUGAUUAUACACUUCUCUCUCCAACAAACCAGGUGAGUGCAAAGACUUCUUUUGCUUAGAAGAUGCUUAUUUACGUGCUGACUGCAUGUUGCAGUGGAGCAUGAGUCCUUAGUGCAGCUUCCUCUAUGAGUCAGCAUUGCUUUUUUCUUCAGCAUAUGGUUAGUAUUCAGUUUCAUUCCAAGCACUUUGCUUGUGGAUGGUCCUUUUUAGAGGUCUUGUUUCCAAGAUGCAAAGAUUUUCUAAGUCUUGCCCUCUCAUCAGUUAUGCCACGAUGAUGUGAGGGGAAAAAGAUCGUUUAUUGCCACUUUGAUGUCAAAAUUCCCAUACAUGAGGUGGCAACUGGUUGAGAUCCUGACCCAAUCUAAAGCCUGCUGAAAUUAAUGAGCAUCUUCUAUUGGCUUUUGUUGUCUUUGGAUCAGGCCAUCAGAGCAUGAUCCUGUCCGCUGAAGGCAGUGGGAAUUGUGUCUUUGAUUUCACUGGACCCAAGUGGAGCACAGUGCGUUAACCUGUAGUUGGCUGUUUCUCCAUUAAAAUUAUCGACUUGCAGAACCUGUGUCGGUUAGGUAAUGUAAUGUUAGAGGUGGAGAAAUGAAAAGUCAGAUAUCCGUUCUGCCAAUUCAGUGUGCUUCUCUUACUGCUCUUUUCAGCUUUUCUUUAUGGCCAACAUGACAGCAAUCACUAUUCAAGAUAGUUUUACAAUAGAGCCUUAUGUGUCAUUCAGCAAACGAGAAACCUGAAGUUCUGUCCAAAUGCACUGUAAUAAAAAGUCCAGGAGUAGGGCUGUUGGUGCUGCA